UUAAAGCAAAUAAAAAUUGAUGAUAAAUAAAAAUUUUUCUUGAGCUAAUUUAUUUAAAAUUCAGUUAUUAAACUGAAGUUGAAGAUAAUGAAUAUAAAUAUACUGUUUGUAUAUUCUAUUUAUAACAAGUCAUCAAUGCAUAAGAAAAUCAGAGUGUUGCAUAUUAAUGCUAUUUUGAAACUUUAUAAUACUGUUCAUAUUAGGUAUCUAGCUACACUGUAAUGGGGUUCUUGGGUCAAGCCCCGAUGGACUCAUUCGUCGUCCUGCUGCAUUCGGAUUCAGCUAUCAGAAUCCAGGACUCGCUGACAUAUUAGAGAUGUCAAACGUUAAGCCAGAAAUACUGGAGGUGAAAUGCCCCUUUUCAGCAAAGAAUAUGACAAUUCCAGAAGCUAUUGAAAAAGUACACGGUUUCUGCCUAGGUAAUAAUAGUGUAGGUUCAGGAUUUUAAUGGAGUCAAGUCCUUCAAGCUAUGAGAGAACCACCAAUACUAUGAUCAAGUGCAAGGACAGCUUCAUAUAAUUGGGAAAUCCUUGUGUGAUUUUAUGGUCUGGACACCAAAAGACUGUGCGAUUGUGAGAAUUAACAAAGACAUCAAUUGGGAGAUCAACAUAUCUGUUUUGACAGACUUUUAUUUCUGUAAAUUUCUCCCGUAUUUACAACAGCUAUAAGAUAUAACAUUAAACAUGGUGAAAACAUUUUAA